rnacentral:lncRNA from 1 species
CUGGGUUUGCUGCCUCCUGCCCUGACUCCCAGCACAGGACUCAUUAUUGAGAUGUUUUUGUAGUGGGGUAUGUAGAACCCUCUCCAGAUGUGAUGUAAAUACCAGCCUGUGAAAUAAUAAAUUAAUUUUAAUCUCUUUUCACUCAGCAGCAAAGGGAGGCUCUGGGAGUGCUUCUCAUGCUGCUGAAUCCGAGGUGAAGGGGCUGGGGACUCUGCCCUGGCCAUUCCAAUCCCAAACAGCUUGUGCAGUGGUGGCUCUGGAGGAGAGCUGAAAGCCUUUUGUGGCCAGCAAAGGCUGAUUAGCUCAAAGUGGUCCUAAAGAAAGGUGCAUUAAUUUCUACAGGGUGCUCUCCUGAGAGCUUCUCUUGUCCUGUCCCUCCACCUCUGUGUGGCAGCUCCCACUGCUGGAGUCCUGUCCCCCCUGAGAACCCAUGCUAUGAAUGCAGAGCAGGAAUCUGUUAUUUCCAGUAGCAAACAUCAGGCUGUAGAUGGGAGCAGCCCUGCUUGACUGAGCAUUUUCAUAGUUCGCUCAUAAUGUGGGGGAUCCACUCUGCAGAAGUACUGGACUUGACACCUACAUUGAUAUAAAAAUAUUUUAUUGCCUUCAUAAUAGGCACCCUUGCAGCUAUUUUUCACUUACUGCAGUCCACAGUUUAGUGAGGAAAUAGCCCCUUGGUGUCUCUGCUGAGUGCUGACCUCGCUGCUAUCACACCAUCAGAGUACACAAAUACUGCAAAUUGCUGCUCCUCUCCUGGCAGGUAAAUGUGUUUCCAAGGAAAAUGUUGUGGCCUGCAGGACUGCUGGUGUUAUCUCUGGUUCCUGAACAGCCAGGAAGGAUGCUCCUGCCACAGCUCCUGGAGCAAUAAACCAAGGAGGACUGUGAUGGUGAUGGGAACAUCCCUGGCCUGAGGCAAGGACUUUGAUCCCCUGUCUCUUUUCUGCCUCAGUGGGACAAUGCUGCCUGCAUUGCUGGUCCCCAGCAACCGUGGACAUCCUGAUCCCUUCUCCCUGCAUGUGACCACACUGCUGGUCCCUGAAGGACAAAUCAGCCCCUGCAGCUGCAUCAGCAACUUGGAGACCCCAGACUGUCACGCCAGGCUCCCAGAUCCAUCCUGCCCAAGUCCCCAUCUUGUGGAGUAGGAUUUUUUGGAUGACUCU